rnacentral:rRNA from 1 species
AUAGCGUAUAUUAAAGUUGUUGCGGUUAAAAAGCUCGUAGUUGGAUCUCAGUUCAAGCUAUUCGGUCCACUUGCCAGUGGUUACUGUUUGGCUGAACACUUUAUCGAGUUGUCUCAUGGUGCUCUUUACCGAGUGUCAUGAGCGAUCGGUACGUUUACUUUGAAAAAAUUAGAGUGCUUAAAGCAGGCGUAACGCCCGAAUAAUGUUGCAUGGAAUAAUGGAAUAGGACCUCGGUUCUAUUUUGUUGGUCUUCGGAAUCUGAGGUAAUGAUUAAGAGGGACAGACGGGGGCAUUCGUAUUGCGGCGCUAGAGGUGAAAUUCUUGGACCGUCGCAAGACGAACUAAAG